GAUGAACGCUGGCGGCGUGCCUAAUACAUGCAAGUCGAGCGAACGGACGAGAAGCUUGCUUCUCUGAUGUUAGCGGCGGACGGGUGAGUAACACGUGGAUAACCUACCUAUAAGACUGGGAUAACUUCGGGAAACCGGAGCUAAUACCGGAUAAUAUUUUGAACCGCAGGGUUCAAAAGUGAAAGACGGUCUUGCUGUCACUUAUAGAUGGAUCCGCGCUGCAUUGGCUAGUUGGUAAGGUAACGGCUUACCAAGGCAAGGAUGCCUAGCCGAGCUGAGAGGGUGAUCGGCCACACUGGGACUGAGCCACGGCCCAGACUCCUACGGGCGGCAGCAGUAGGGAAUCUUCCGCAAUGGGCGAAAGCCUGACGGAGCAACGCCGCGUGAGUGAUGAAGGUCUUCGGAUCGUAAAACUCUGUUAUUAUGGAAGAACAUAUGUGUAAGUAACUGUGCACAUCUUGACGGUACCUAAUCAGAAAGCCACGGCUAACUACGUG
rnacentral:rRNA from 1 species